rnacentral:misc_RNA from 1 species
GAUGAAGAACGUAGCGAAAUGCGAUAAGUAGUGUGAAUUGCAGAAUUCAGUGAAUCAUCGAAUCUUUGAACGCACAUUGCGCCCCUUGGUAUUCCAAAGGGCAUGCCUGUUCGAGCGUCAUUUGUACCCUCAAGCUUUGCUUGGUGUUGGGCGUCUUGUCUCUAGCUUUGCUGGAGACUCGCCUUAAAGUAAUUGGCAGCCGGCCUACUGGUUUCGGAGCGCAGCACAAGUCGCACUCUCUAUCAGCAAAGGUCUAGCAUCCAUUAAGCCUUUUUUUCAACUUUUGACCUCGGAUCAGGUAGGGAUACCCGCUGAACUUAAGCAUAUCAAUAAGCGGAGGA